rnacentral:rRNA from 1 species
GCGUAAUAGCUCACUGGUCGAGUGGUUUUGCGCCGACAAUGUAGUGGGGCUCAAGCACACCGCCGAAGCCGCGGCAAUAUUUUAUAUUGGGUAGGGGAGCGUCGUGCAUGGGUUGAAGCAAUACUGUAAGGAGUUGUGGACUGUGUGCGAGUGAGAAUGCAGGCAUGAGUAACGAAUUGGACAGUGAGAAUCUGUCCCGCCGGAUGACUAAGGGUUCCUGGGUCAAGUUCGUCUUCCCAGGGUGAGUCGGGACCUAAGGCGAGGCCGACAGGCGUAGUCGAUGGACAACCAGUUGAUAUUCUGGUACCCGUAUAUGCGCGCCCGUGGUAAAGCAUUGAUACUAACCACCCACAAGCAUGUUUCACACUCCUUCGGGAGUGUGGUUCUGUGUGCGUGCGUGGGGCCUGAUAUGUGGUCCAAGCGAUGGGGUGACACAGUGAGGUAGCCAUGCCACUUAUUGGAUUGUUGGUGUAAGCGUGUAGGCCAAGUGAUAGGCAAAUCCGUCACUUAUUUAGGCUAAGGCGUGAUGCGGAGC